GGACUUGGGGACAGGGCAGAGUUGGGGCAGGAGAGGCAAGACUUGGAGGUGGAUGAGUUGUGGGGUCUGAAGCGGGGAGAGUCAAGGCUGAGGCAACUUGUGGCCCCUGGGACCCCCAUUUUGUGGGGAGGCCUUUCCAGGGGUCCCCACCUCAGCUCUGGCCACCCCCACUACCAGGUUGGCCCCAGACUCCCGGCUGAACCCUCAUCGCAGCCUCCUGGGCACCGGCAACUAUGACGUCAAUGUGAUCAUGGCCGCUCUGCAGGGGCUGGGCCUGGCCGCCGUGUGGUGGGACAGGAGGAGGCCCCUGUCCCAGCUGGCCCUGCCCCAGGUGCUGGGGCUGAUCCUGAACCUGCCCUCACCCGUGUCGCUGGGGCUGCUGUCACUGCCGCUGCGCCGGCGGCACUGGGUGGCCCUGCGCCAGGUGGAU
rnacentral:sRNA from 1 species